rnacentral:misc_RNA from 1 species
GAUGAAGAACGUAGCGAAAUGCGAUAAGUAGUGUGAAUUGCAGAAUUCAGUGAAUCAUCGAAUCUUUGAACGCACAUUGCGCCCCUUGGUAUUCCAUGGGGCAUGCCUGUUCGAGCGUCAUCUACACCCUCAAGCUCUGCUUGGUGUUGGGCGUCUGUCCCGCCUUUGCGCGUGGACUCGCCCCAAAUUCAUUGGCAGCGGUCCUUGCCUCCUCUCGCGCAGCACAUUUGCGCUUCUCGAGGUGCGCGGGCCGCGUCCACGAAGCAACUAUUACCGUCUUUGACCUCGGAUCAGGUAGGGAUACCCGCUGAACUUAAGCAUAUCAGUAAGCGGAGGA